CCUUAAUUGAAUUUCUCAGUUAGCGACUGCAGGGUGGAAAAGCUGGAACGGAUCACAGAUACGACUCUUUUACGUGACAGGUCCGAUGCAAGCGACGACAGGAGACUAAAAAAGUUUGCUUCCUUUCUGAAGUGCGAGAAGUCUUCAGGUUUAAUGGUCUGCGUGUCGCUCAUCCUCUACCACCCCAAUCAAACACGGGUGAGAACACCAAACGCCCAGCGGGCGCAGACGUGGACGCGGACGCAGGCAGAGUCACGGCACUGUUUGAUGGCCACUGGAUCCCAGGGCUUCCCGUACCCAGUCAGCCUCAGUGGGGACUCACACUAAAGUCCUCUCACCAUCUGUACCCCUUUUAACACCUUCAUUCAUUUUUUUUAUGUUAUUUGUUUAUUGUGGCUUAGCCUCGUUUUUUUGAUGGGGCACCUUAACCCUAUUUGAAUCUCUCGUAGUCUUUGGUAAACCCCAUUGCUCUGCGUUGCCUGAUGUAUUUAUGGAUAAAUUCUCAGAACACUUUCUGUUUACAGGGUAAGCAGCUCUGAUUUGCAGAAACAAAGACAGUUCUCCUGAGAGGAUGUAACACAGCAGGGUUUUCAUAGAUGUUGCAGAGCAUGAGAGUACAGUACGGAAGGUGGCGAUAAGUGACCUCUCACCUGUGGAUCUGAGUAGCUGGCAAACGUGACGACUGACAACACUGGAACACCUUUGCUGAUUAUCUGUCCUGGACAAACAAUUUCCAUGAAUUUCCUUUGUGAAAUGGCAUACUAUUUCUUCAGUACACAUUUUCAAGCAUCGUGCAUUUCUUUGAAAAGCCUGGGGAUUUGAACCUGCAAGCUUCCGAACACCAGCACUGCACACUAACCUGUUGAGCCUCACUCAUCACUCUUAGACAGUGUGUUGUUUUCACUCUUUUUAAUUUCCCUCACUCUUUUUUCUAUCUCUGGACAGGGGAAAUACACAUGAGAUUAAUUA